AAAGAUGAACUAGGACGGGGUGUUGAAUCCUGGUUCUCGAGGGCCGCUAUCUUGCAUGUUUUGAUGUUUCCCUCUUCCAACACACCUGAAGGUCAUUAUCAGGCUUCUGCAGAGCUUGAUGAUAGGCUUAUCAUUUGAAUCAGGUGUGUUGGAAGAGGGAUACAUCUAAAACAUGCAGGACAGCGGCCCUCCAGGACUAGAUCUGGACACUCCU